rnacentral:lncRNA from 10 species
UGCUUAUGACAUUCUGUCAUUCCAGGUCCAUGGAGAACAGCAGACACAGAUGAAGAACUUCUAAUCUCAGGGAGAGGCCUCUCCAGUGGCUAAGAAAGCAGACAAGAAUGAAUUAGGAGCUGUCUCAGACGGAUAUCUUUAAAAAGGCAGGAAGCAAUCGGGAAGUAAUGAAAGACUUCCAAAAAGAACAUCUGAGGGCAGAAGAAAAUGGAAAACAAAGACAAACAAACCAAAGGAGGAGGAUGAAGUAGAAGCCAUUCAUUCUUUCUAUGAACAUUGGUGAGUGCCUACAUGUGCC